UACGUAGGUGGCAUGCGUUGUCCGUAUUUACUGGGCGUAAAGGGCGUGCAGGCGGUCUGUUAAGUCUAGGGUGAAAGCUCCCGGCUCAACUGGGAGAGGUCCUUGGAUACUGGCAGACUUGAGGAGAGUAGAGGAGAGUGGAAUUCCCGGUGUAGUGGUGAUAUGCGUAGAUAUCGGGAGGAACACCAGUGGCGAAGGCGGCUCUCUGGGCUCUACCUGACGCUGAGACGCGAAAGCGUGGGGAGCGAACCGG
rnacentral:rRNA from 1 species